rnacentral:lncRNA from 1 species
UUGUGUUGUCGAUCUCUUUUUUAUUAUUUGAGGAGCAUUAUUAACAAUUAACUUUAUCUUUAUGUGUGAUUAACCAAAAUGUCAUUACUUAUGUGUCAUCAUGAGAAUCAUUCUCACAACCUUUAUUAAAUAAUUUUUCCUUGCCUAGACUAAUUACAUGUAAUGCUAUUAUUUAUUAUUUGGAUCCUUUCAUACAAUAUACAAUAUGAUUCUUUAUUGCAUUACUAAAAACCAAUUGAUAGUUAUAAAUAAUAUAUGAAUUGUGAUUACAUUACUAAAAUUAUGGUGUACACCGACGGUUAUUAACAAUACACUUAGACAACCACGAAAGGUUGUCUUUCCCAAAUGUGGUGUGGCAUAAUAUUAGUG